ACGGCGAGUGAAGCGGCAACAGCUUCCAAAUUUUUGAAAUCCUGGCUUCGGCCCGAGUUGUAAUUUGUAGAGGAAGCUUUAGGCGCGGCACCUUCUGAGUCCCCUGGAACGGGGCGCCAAAGAGGGUGAGAGCCCCGUAUAGUUGGAUGCCUAGCCUGUGUAAAGCUCCUUCGACGAGUCGAGUAGUUUGGGAAUGCUGCUCAAAAUGGGAGGUAAAUUUCUUCUAAAGCUAAAUACCGGCCAGAGACCGAUAGCGCACAAGUAGAGUGAUCGAAAGAUGAAAAGCACUUUGAAAAGAGGGUUAAAUAGCACGUGAAAUUGUUGAAAGGGAAGCGCUUGUGACCAGACUUGCGCCGGGCGGAUCAUCCGGUGUUCUCACCGGUGCACUCCGCCCGGCUCAGGCCAGCAUCGGUUCUCGUGGGGGGAUAAAGGCCCUGGGAACGUAGCUCCUCCGGGAGUGUUAUAGCCCAGGGUGUAAUGCCCUCGCGGGGACCGAGGUUCGCGCAUCUGCAAGGAUGCUGGCGUAAUGGUCAUCAGCGACCUUUGAAA
rnacentral:rRNA from 1 species